rnacentral:rRNA from 1 species
UACGGAGGGUGCAAUCGUUGCUCGGAAUUAUUGGGCGUAAAGGGUAGGUAGGUGGUCGCGUUUGUCUAGGGUUAAAUCCUUGAGCUUAACUCAAGAAGUGCCUCAGAAACGGCGAGACUAGAGUUCUGGAGAGGGGGGUAGAAUUCCACGUGUAGCAGUGAAAUGCGUAGAGAUGUGGAGGUUUAUUUAAUGAGACGGCGACCACCGAGAUCUACACUGACACUGAGGCACGAAAGCGUGGGGAGCAAACAGG